rnacentral:rRNA from 1 species
UACGGAGGAUCCAAGCGUUAUCCGGAAUCAUUGGGUUUAAAGGGUCCGUAGGCGGUUUUGUAAGUCAGUGGUGAAAUCUGGUCGCUUAACGAUCAAACGGCCAUUGAUACUGCAAGACUUGAAUUAUUGGGAAGUAACUAGAAUAUGUAGUGUAGCGGUGAAAUGCUUAGAUAUUACAUGGAAUACCAAUUGCGAAGGCAGGUUACUAUCAAUAUAUUGACGCUGAUGGACGAAAGCGUGGGGAGCGAACAGGAUUAGAUACCCUGGUAGUCCACGCCGUAAACGAUGGAUACUAGCUGUUGGGCGUAAGCUCAGUGGCUAAGCGAAAGUGAUAAGUAUCCCACCUGGGGAGUACGAACGCAAGUUUGAA